rnacentral:rRNA from 1 species
GACGAACGCUGGCGGCGUGCUUAACACAUGCAAGUCGAACGGAAAGGCCCUGCUUUUGUGGGGUGCUCGAGUGGCGAACGGGUGAGUAACACGUGAGUAACCUGCCCUAGACUUUGGGAUAACUUCAGGUAACUGGGGCUACUACCGGAUAGGAGCUCCCGCUCCAUGGUGGGGGUUGGAAAGUUUCGGCGGUUGGGGAUGGACUCGCGGCUUAUCAGCUUGUUGGUGGGGUAGUGGCUUACCAAGGCUUUGACGGGUAGCCGGCCUGGGAGGGUGGCCGGCCACAUUGGGACUGAGGUACGGCCCAGACUCCUACGGGAGGCAGCAGGGGGGAAUAUUGCACAAUGGGCGGAAGCCUGAUGCAGCAACGCCGCGUGCGGGAUGACGGCCUUCGGGUUGUAAACCGCUUUCGCCUGUGACGAAGCGUGUGUGACGGUAAUGGGUAAAGAAGCACCGGCUAACUACGUG